UUAGAAGCAGCCAUCAUUUAAAGAAAGCGUAACAGCUCACUGGUCUAAACAAGGGUCUUUGCGCCGAAAAUGUAACGGGGCUAAAGCCAUGCACCGAAGCUGAGGAUGUGCGCAAGCACGUGGUAGCGGAGCGUUCCGUAAGUCUGUGAAGGGGUAUCCGUGAGGGCCCCUGGAGAUAUCGGAAGUGCGAAUGUUGACAUGAGUAACGAUAAAGAGGGUGAGAGACCCUCUCGCCGAAAGACCAAGGGUUCCUGCUUAAAGUUAAUCUGAGCAGGGUUAGUCGGCCCCUAAGACGAGGCGGAAACGCGUAGUCGAUGGGAACCACGUUAAUAUUCGUGGGCCUGGUGGUAGUGACGGAUUGCGUAACUUGUUCAUUCUUAUUGGAUUGAGUGGGCAGCGAAGCGGUUCCAGGAAAUAGCUCCAUCAUUAUAGACCGUACCCGAAACCGACACAGGUGGUCAGGUAGAGUAUACCAAGGCGCUUGAGAGAACUAUGUUGAAGGAACUCGGCAAA
rnacentral:rRNA from 1 species